rnacentral:misc_RNA from 1 species
GUUGGAUCCUGCCCGUGCAGCGACGAUUAUGCAUGCGUUCCUCUUCAUAUCUAGGCACAAGUGCGACUUAGCCUUGGCCGAAAGUUGGAUUUCCUGUAUUGAAUACCUACUAGAUGGAAUUUUAUCGUUGACUGUUGAAUGAUCGCCUAAUGCCGCCCUCGUCGGUGGCUGCGGGUGAUCCACAAAGCGAGAUUUGUGAUCCUCGACGCAGAGUACUCGUUGUGCCGAGACCCACACUUCUUUGCUCGGACUGAGGGAUUCAGAACAUACCGUGGGCAUGGGGUCUCGACCCUUAUUUGCCACACUAAUUGAAAACAUCCGAACGACGUUCGAUGGUGCGCUGGUCCUAGGGCCGCUCACCUCGAUGUCCGCGAGGAAUGCUACCU